GCUGCCUUCGCUGCGCCCCCCCGCCCCCCUCGGAUCCCAAGCCUGCUACGCCGCCGGAGGUGGGAAGACAGACGGACGGAUGGACAGACACGCCGAUUCUAGCACUCAGAUCUCCACCGCCUUGGCUCCUCGCAGCCCCGCGUUGGGGUGGCUGAGACGGCUAGCGGAGCACCGCGAGGUUCACGUGGAAAAGCCCAGAAGAACAUCCAGCCAACACGUGGAGACUGCUUUUUCUAGUUAUGUAAUUAGCCCAGGAAGCUUGCUCUGCUAACUUUCUGCAACAGUCCCAGCAUUCUUCCAGGCUCCCUGGCCCUCUCCAAGGCACGAGGGUCUGGCCAACUUGAAAGUGUGAAUCAAGUUCAGCUGCAAAGAACUGAGCUCCUGGAUUUUAAGUGUGAGCGCUUGGGUUGAAGACAUUGAGCGCCCAAGGAAGGAAGCAACUUGUGCAUUCCCAGCUGUUCUUUGCGUGUGCUUGACCCUGGCAAUGAAGAAGAAAAAGCAGAUCAGUCUCCUGUGGCUCUGAAAGCCAGAGGCAUUUCUCUGCCAUACAAAAUGUCCCCUUUACCCCCAGCCCUUCUCCAGCCUUCUAGCUCCCAUGAAAAGAACUCAGGACCCCUCACCCAGAGAGAACCAUGAUGCAGGCCAGGGAAGCCAGCAUGGUUUUGUGCCUGAAGGCCCUCCUCUCCUGGCUGCCGGUGGAUGACUGGACCCCAGCAGCUCCUAAGACAAGAAGAGUCAGUGCCCGCCUGGCAUGGAGGGUCCUGGCAGAUAGCCAAGCUGCAGGUGCUUGAAGAAGUUCAAGUUACACACACUAGGGCUUGUUGAGUCCCCAGACCUGGCCUGAGACUCUGAAUUUCUAACAAGCCUCUCGUGAAGAUGGAUUUUUGCUGGCCUGGAGACCACAGUGAGAGUACCAAAGGGGUAUCUUGCUGUGGCCAGAACUCCUGCCCAACUUCUAAAGCUACAAAUGGUUCUGUGGAGCCACUCAUCUGGACACCUAAGAGGCAGACAAGUCUACUGCUAAUUGUUACAGAUGCGCCCUCCUUGGGAGGCUCUGCCAGCCUUCACAGCUGCCUUGGCACUCUAGCCAGCCUCCCGUUGCCUCACGAGUGUGACCUUGGCUCUCUACCCCUCCACCCGCCCCCAUGUGAAUCUGUUGCCCAGUAACACAGAAAGAAGAAACACAGGGACAGAGCUAUCACUACAGAUAUUGUAGUGAGCAGGGCCAUGCUUUUGCAAGGUAGCAAAUGCUAAAGGGUGCUAGCUACACCCCAGAAGCUGGAAGGACAGGUUGGGUCCCAUUCUGCCCUCGGGAAAGAGGGGGAGGUAGAGGGGCUCAGAAGCAGGCAGCUUUGCCCACCUUCGCUUCAAACUUCAUCCUCCAGAACU